rnacentral:lncRNA from 1 species
AUUCAUUUUGUGUGUUGAUGCUUUAUCUUGGGCAUUAAGAGUGGCAGUUCAGGGGUCAGAGCUGGAGACCUACUAGCCAUCCCCUAAGAUCUACCUGCUUUUGCAUUUUCUUUUUAUAAAUGAUUGCCUUCUCAUCAAUCGAGCCUUGGUCCGAAACAUAAGGUGCUUUGCAUCCAUUAUUGAGGCCUACUGUCAAACUUCUAUCUAGCUAGUCAAUUUGUAGAAGUCUGUGGUCAUCUUCAGCCCUCGGAUGAAGAUUUAGAUGAAGCAAAUGAUUCAGGAUAGAAUGGUGAUUC